rnacentral:misc_RNA from 1 species
GGCCAUAUAUCAAGCUCUAUCACUCUUACACCUCUAUUCAAUGCAUUUAUGAUGGGGAUAUCACUGCAAUCGCUGCUGAGUUGGUUUCCUGUUAGGUAAGAAUUGUGGCCAGUAUAUAUGAAGUAGUGGGAUAAUGAUUUUGUCAUAUCCUGGUGAACCUGGUUUUCCCGAGUAGGGGGAUUGAGAUCUGCAGAGAACAAAUAAUGGUAAAAAUCGUCAAGUGUGAGAGUAUGCCUGGUAAACUUGGCAAUGUGAUGCCUCUUGUGCAACAUCUGCUCAACG